rnacentral:tRNA from 1 species
GCCUGGCUGGCUCAGUUGGUAGAGCAUGGGACUUUUGAUCUCAGGGUUGUGAGUUCAAGCCCCAUGCUGCACA